rnacentral:rRNA from 1 species
UGUCCUACGGGAGGCAGCAGUGAGGAAUAUUGGUCAAUGGACGAGAGUCUGAACCAGCCAAGUAGCGUGAAGGAUGACUGCCCUAUGGGUUGUAAACUUCUUUUAUAAAGGAAUAAAACGAGGCACGUGUGCCUUUUUGCAUGUACUUUAUGAAUAAGGAUCGGCUAACUACGUGCCAGCAGCCGCGGUCAUACGUAGGAUCCGAGCAUUAUCCGGAGUGACUGGGUGUAAAGAGUUGCGUAGGUGGCAUAGUAAGUAGCUAGUGAAAUCUGGUGGCUCAACCAUUCAGACUAUUAGCUAAACUG